rnacentral:rRNA from 1 species
GACGAACGCUGGCGGCGUGCUUAACACAUGCAAGUCGAGCGGAAAGGCCACUUCGGUGGUACUCGAGCGGCGAACGGGUGAGUAACACGUGAGUAAUCUGCCCCUGGCUUUGGGAUAGCCACCGGAAACGGUGAUUAAUACCGGAUAUGACCACUUCUCGCAUGGGUUGUGGUGGAAAGUUUUUCGGCCAGGGAUGUGCUCGCGGCCUAUCAGCUUGAUGGUGAGGUAAUGGCUCACCAUGGCUUCGACGGGUAGCCGGCCUGAGAGGGUGACCGGUCACACUGGGACUGAGACACGGCCCAGACUCCUACGGGAGGCAGCAGUGGGGAAUAUUGGACAAUGGGCGGAAGCCUGAUCCAGCAACGCCGCGUGAGGGAUGACGGCCUUCGGGUUGUAAACCUCUUUCAGUACCGACGAAGCGCAAGUGACGGUAGGUACAGAAGAAGCACCGGCCAACUACGUGCCAGCAGCCGCCGUAA